rnacentral:ncRNA from 1 species
AGAACUAAUAAUUCGAGAGAUGGAAUGAAAGGGGUAACGCCCUGAAACUCUCCUCUAAUACUCCGACUGGCUACACACAGAGAAAUCUGAGUAGUUAGGAGUUCGGUGAAGUCGGCAGAAUUAGUCCUAAGUUAGAGUAAGACUUGAGUAGCGUUGGUACAAAAGUGGUUAGAACCCGCCUGCGUGAAAUGGAAUGAAAAGAUAUGGGCUAAGAUAUGCCGGGAGUCUACAAA